rnacentral:tmRNA from 1 species
GGGGGCGACCUGGAUUCGACGGGGGUGGAGAGGCGAUGGCUGCGUGUCGAGGUCCCAUGUCCUCGUUAAACUGUGGGAACACUCUAUAAUUGCGGACGAUACGUACGCAAUGGCUGCGUAACUAAAACGCAGUCCGUUCCGACGGGCUUCGCCCGCAGGGCCCGACCGGAGCGCCGACUUAUGCGGGCUGGCUCGCGGACCUCCGUUCGAGGGUCCGUGAGCGAGAGCUGAUUGAACUGGCGUGCCGGCAACCCCGUUUACCGGGGCGCCCGCGCGUGAGAUUCAAAAGGUAAACUACACACGUAGACGCUGUCGUUGAUCUGCUUUCGGACGCGGGUUCGAUUCCCGCCGCCUCCACCA